UGAGGAAUAUUGGACAAUGGGCGCAAGCCUGAUCCAGCCAAGCCGCGUGCAGGAAGAAGGCCUUCGGGUUGUAAACUGCUUUUGUACGGAGCGAAAAGGUCUGCCCUAAUACGGUGGGCUCAUGACGGUACCGUAAGAAUAAGCACCGGCUAACUACGUGCCAGCAGCCGCGGUAAUACGUAGGGUGCGAGCGUUAAUCGGAAUUACUGGGCGUAAAGCGUGCGCAGGCGGUUAUAUAAGACAGAUGUGAAAUCCCCGGGCUCAACCUGGGACCUGCAUUUGUGACUGUAUAGCUAGAGUACGGUAGAGGGGGAUGGAAUUCCGCGUGUAGCAGUGAAAUGCGUAGAUAUGCGGAGGAACACCGAUGGCGAAGGCAAUCCCCUGGACCUGCACUGACGCUCAUGCACGAAAGCGUGGGGAGCAAACA
rnacentral:rRNA from 1 species